rnacentral:lncRNA from 1 species
CUGGAGCUUGAGUGCUUGAAGAAAACUGGCUCGACGAUGUUUAUUUCGGCGGUUUUGCGGCGGUUAACGGCGAAAUCGGCGGCGGUUUUGCGGCGGUUAAGGAGGAUUUUCUCGAGGCAGACGCGAUUCUCGUCGAGAUAGGCGGCGCGGCUCUGUUUCUUCCUCAUGGAGACGUCGGAGGAGUCGUCGGUGGAGCGGUAGAUUUGGUCGAGGAGAGAGGAGGAGAAGGAAGGAUGGCGGUGGUCGCGGCGGUUUUGCGGCGGUUAAGGAGGAUUUUCUCGAGGCAGACGCGAUUCUCGUCGAGAGAGGCGGCGCGGCUCUGUUUCUUCCUCAUGGAGACGUCGGAGGAGUCGUCGGUGGAGCGGUAGAUUUGGUCGAGGAGAGAGGAGGAGAAGGAAGGAUG